rnacentral:rRNA from 1 species
GACGAACGCUGGCGGCGUGCCUAAUACAUGCAAGUCGAACGAACUCUGGUAUUGAUUGGUGCUUGCAUCAUGAUUUACAUUUGAGUGAGUGGCGAACUGGUGAGUAACACGUGGGAAACCUGCCCAGAAGCGGGGGAUAACACCUGGAAACAGAUGCUAAUACCGCAUAACAACUUGGACCGCAUGGUCCGAGUUUGAAAGAUGGCUUCGGCUAUCACUUUUGGAUGGUCCCGCGGCGUAUUAGCUAGAUGGUGGGGUAACGGCUCACCAUGGCAAUGAUACGUAGCCGACCUGAGAGGGUAAUCGGCCACAUUGGGACUGAGACACGGCCCAAACUCCUACGGGAGGCAGCAGUAGGGAAUCUUCCACAAUGGACGAAAGUCUGAUGGAGCAACGCCGCGUGAGUGAAGAAGGGUUUCGGCUCGUAAAACUCUGUUGUUAAAGAAGAACAUAUCUGAGAGUAACUGUUCAGGUAUUGACGGUAUUUAACCAGAAAGCCACGGCUAACUACGUGCCAGCAGCCGCGGUAAUACGUAGGUGGCAAGCGUUGUCCGGAUUUAUUGGGCGUAAAGCGAGCGCAGGCGGUUUUUUAAGUCUGAUGUGAAAGCCUUCGGCUCAACCGAAGAAGUGCAUCGGAAACUGGGAAACUUGAGUGCAGAAGAGGACAGUGGAACUCCAUGUGUAGCGGUGAAAUGCGUAGAUAUAUGGAAGAACACCAGUGGCGAAGGCGGCUGUCUGGUCUGUAACUGACGCUGAGGCUCGAAAGUAUGGGUAGCAAACAGGAUUAGAUACCCUGGUAGUCCAUACCGUAAACGAUGAAUGCUAAGUGUUGGAGGGUUUCCGCCCUUCAGUGCUGCAGCUAACGCAUUAAGCAUUCCGCCUGGGGAGUACGGCCGCAAGGCUGAAACUCAAAGGAAUUGACGGGGGCCCGCACAAGCGGUGGAGCAUGUGGUUUAAUUCGAAGCUACGCGAAGAACCUUACCAGGUCUUGACAUACUAUGCAAAUCUAAGAGAUUAGACGUUCCCUUCGGGGACAUGGAUACAGGUGGUGCAUGGUUGUCGUCAGCUCGUGUCGUGAGAUGUUGGGUUAAGUCCCGCAACGAGCGCAACCCUUAUUAUCAGUUGCCAGCAUUAAGUUGGGCACUCUGGUGAGACUGCUGGUGACAAACCGGAGGAAGGUGGGGAUGACGUCAAAUCAUCAUGCCCCUUAUGACCUGGGCUACACACGUGCUACAAUGGAUGGUACAACGAGUUGCGAACUCGCGAGAGUAAGCUAAUCUCUUAAAGCCAUUCUCAGUUCGGAUUGUAGGCUGCAACUCGCCUACAUGAAGUCGGAAUCGCUAGUAAUCGCGGAUCAGCAUGCCGCGGUGAAUACGUUCCCGGGCCUUGUACACACCCCCGUCACACCAUGAGAGUUUGUAACACCCAAAGUCGGUGGGGUAACCUUUUAGGAACCAGCCGCCUAAGGUGGGACAGAUGAUUAGGGUG